CCUACACAUGCAAGUCGAACGGCAGCACAGGAGAGCUUGCUCUCUGGGUGGCGAGUGGCGGACGGGUGAGGAAUACAUCGGAAUCUACUUUUUCGUGGGGGAUAACGUAGGGAAACUUACGCUAAUACCGCAUACGACCUACGGGUGAAAGCAGGGGAUCUUCGGACCUUGCGCGAUUGAAUGAGCCGAUGUCGGAUUAGCUAGUUGGCGGGGUAAAGGCCCACCAAGGCGACGAUCCGUAGCUGGUCUGAGAGGAUGAUCAGCCACACUGGAACUGAGACACGGUCCAGACUCCUACGGGAGGCAGCAGUGGGGAAUAUUGGACAAUGGGCGCAAGCCUGAUCCAGCCAUACCGCGUGGGUGAAGAAGGCCUUCGGGUUGUAAAGCCCUUUUGUUGGGAAAGAAAUCCAGCUGGUUAAUACCCGGUUGGGAUGACGGUACCCAAAGAAUAAGCACCGGCUAACUUCGUGCCAGCAGCCGCGGUAAUACGAAGGGUGCAAGCGUUACUCGGAAUUACUGGGCGUAAAGCGUGCGUAGGUGGUCGUUUAAGUCCGUUGUGAAAGCCCUGGGCUCAACCUGGGAACUGCAGUGGAUACUGGACGACUAGAGUGUGGUAGAGGGUAGCGGAAUUCCUGGUGUAGCAGUGAAAUGCGUAGAGAUCAUGAGGAACAUCCAUGGCGAAGGCAGCUACCUGGACCCAACACUGA
rnacentral:rRNA from 1 species